UAGGGAAUCUUCGGCAAUGGACGAAAGUCUGACCGAGCAACGCCGCGUGAGUGAAGAAGGUUUUCGGAUCGUAAAACUCUGUUGUUAGAGAAGAACAAGGACGUUAGUAACUGAACGUCCCCUGACGGUAUCUAACCAGAAAGCCACGGCUAACUACGUGCCAGCAGCCGCGGUAAUACGUAGGUGGCAAGCGUUGUCCGGAUUUAUUGGGCGUAAAGCGAGCGCAGGGGGUUUCUUAAGUCUGAUGUGAAAGCCCCCGGCUCAACCGGGGAGGGUCAUUGGAAACUGGGAGACUUGAGUGCAGAAGAGGAGAGUGGAAUUCCAUGUGUAGCGGUGAAAUGCGUAGAUAUAUGGAGGAACACCAGUGGCGAAGGCGGCUCUCUGGUCUGUAACUGACGCUGAGGCUCGAAAGCGUGGGGAGCAAACAGG
rnacentral:rRNA from 1 species